GUCCUGCAAGAAAAAUGUGCUUCUUGUUUUUGUGAAGUGAUAUUUGAUCAUGCAAGUGGAAUACAUAAAAUAGAUUCAAAAUCUAAGGAAGAAUUAAGUGUGGAACUUGUUGUCCCAAUUGAAAGUUUUAAAGGUAUAAAGUUGCCUUCAAACGGUGAUGUGCUUGGUCGGAUGCGUUUUAUAAUGAAAAAUCAACACUUGAGUAUACAACCAGCUGCUAAAACUGUAGUAACUGAACUUCAAAUUUUUUAGGAGAAAUAUAGAAUUCCUCUAAUACAACACUACAAUGCUCUUGUUAAGCUCCUAAAAUUAUUUAACAAAAUGCGAGCAAUUAUCAAAAAAUAUUCUCACGCGGGAGAUAAACAGAAAGAGCAAGAGUCUAGUUUCAUUAAUAAUUUGGAUCGAUUGUUUGACAUUGCUCGACGAAAUGCUUUCAAUUUGAUUGAAAACGAUAAGGAUAAACAGUUCCUUAUUCUGCAAAGGAAAGUUGGAAGGCCUGGAUCUGCCUUUGCGAGAGUUAAAAAAGGCAAAAUCCAACAACGGAACCAGAGCCUUCCUUGGAAUCUCAAUCAGCUACUAGCGUUUUUACUAUUGAUGGAGGAGAUGAGAAACCCUCCACUAGUAGAGCAUUUUCCGAGCGAAGUAAAUAAAAAAUAAUGACUCCUAUACUAGCUGCCACCCUAGACCGUAUUGGACUAAGCGACCGAAAUGCAAUACGAUUUUACCGUUAGGGUUAGCAGAGAAACAAUCUCAAGGGCCCGUGCAGAAUAUCGCGAAGAGAUUGCUCAACAUAUCCAAAGCAAUUUUGAUCUAAAUGGACCACAUUGUUGUACAUUGGGAUGAAAAGCUGC